rnacentral:rRNA from 1 species
UACGUAGGGGGCAAGCGUUGUCCGGAAUUAUUGGGCGUAAAGCGCGCGCAGGCGGUUUUUUAAGUCUGGAGUUUAAACCUAGGGCUCAACCUUGGGUCGCUCUGGAAACUGGGGAACUGGAGUGUAGGAGAGGAAAGUGGAAUUCCACGUGUAGCGGUGAAAUGCGUAGAGAUCCGGAGGAACACCAGUGGCGAAGGCGACACGCUGGGCCGUACCUGACGCUAAAGCGCGACAGCAUGGGGAGCAAACGGG